UACGGAGGGUGCAAACGUUGCUCGGAAUCAUUGGGCGUAAAGCGCACGUAGGCGGACCGCUAAGUCGGAUGUGAAAGCCCUCGGCUUAACCGAGGAAGUGCAUUCGAAACUGACGGUCUUGAGUAUGGAAGAGGGUCGCGGAAUUCCCGGUGUAGAGGUGAAAUUCGUAGAUAUCGGGAGGAACACCAGUGGCGAAGGCGGUGACCUGGGCCAAUACUGACGCUGAGGUGCGAAAGCGUGGAGAGCAAACAGG
rnacentral:rRNA from 1 species